rnacentral:rRNA from 1 species
GAUGAACGCUGGCGGCGUGCCUAAUACAUGCAAGUCGAGCGAACGGACGAGAAGCUUGCUUCUCUGAUGUUAGCGGCGGACGGGUGAGUAACACGUGGAUAACCUACCUAUAAGACUGGGAUAACUUCGGGAAACCGGAGCUAAUACCGGAUAAUAUUUUGAACCGCAUGGUUCAAAGGUGAAAGACGGUCUUGCUGUCACUUAUAGAUGGAUCCGCGCUGCAUUAGCUAGUUGGUAAGGUAACGGCUUACCAAGGCAACGAUGCAUAGCCGACCUGAGAGGGUGAUCGGCCACACUGGAACUGAGACACGGUCCAGACUCCUACGGGAGGCAGCGGUAGGGAAUCUUCCGCAAUGGGCGAAAGCCUGACGGAGCAACGCCGCGUGAGUGAUGAAGGUCUUCGGAUCGUAAAACUCUGUUAUUAGGGAAGAACAUAUGUGUAAGUAACUGUGCACAUCUUGACGGUACCUAAUCAGAAAGCCACGGCUAACUACGUG